rnacentral:rRNA from 1 species
AGGAUGCAAGUGUUAUCCGGAAUCACUGGGCGUAAAGCGUCUGUAGGUCGUUUAAAAAGUCUACUGUUAAAAAUUGAAGCUUAACUUCAAAGGUGCCGUAGAAACUUUUAAACUUGAGUAUGGUAGGGGUAGAGGGAAUUUCCAGUGGAGCGGUGAAAUGCGUAGAUAUUGGAAAGACCACCAAUGGCGAAGGCACUCUACUGGGCCAUUACUGACACUGAGAGACGAAAGCUAGGGGAGCAAAUGGG